GACAGCUAGGAAACAAACUGGGAUUAGAUACCCCACUAUGUCUGACCGUAAAUUCACUUACACCUAAACCGCCAGGGAACUACGAGCCUUAGCUUAAAACCCAAAGGACUUGACGGUGUCCCACCCAACUAGAGGAGCCUGUUCUAUAAUCGAUAAUCCCCGCUCCACCCAACCCCCCCUUGCCUUCAGCCUGUAUACCUCCGUCGCAAGUCCGCCGUAUGAAUGUUCUUCAGCGGAUUAAAGGAUUUUUUAUCAAUACGUCAGGUCAAGGUGCAGCCCACGGGGUGGCAAGCAAUGGGCUACAAUUUCUAGCCUAGAACAUACGAAAUACUGUAUGAAACACAGUUAUGAAGGAGGAUUUAGUAGUAAAAAGAAAAUAGCGCGUUCUUUUUAACACGGCCCUGGGACGUGUACACACCGCCCGUCACCCUCUUCGAUACCUUAAUCUGCUUUUUAACCCAACUAAAAAUAAAAGAAGAGGCAAGU
rnacentral:rRNA from 1 species